rnacentral:rRNA from 1 species
AGAACGAACGCUGGCGGCAGGCCUAACACAUGCAAGUCGAACGCUCGUAGCAAUACGGGAGUGGCAGACGGGUGAGUAACGCGUGGGAACAUACCCUCCGGUUCGGAAUAGCUCAGGGAAACUUGGAUUAAUACCGGAUACGGCUGAGAGGCGAAAGAUUUAUCGCCGGAGGAUUGGCCCGCGUUCGAUUAGCUAGUUGGUGAGGUAACGGCUCACCAAGGCGAUGAUCGAUAGCUGGUCUGAGAGGAUGAUCAGCCACAUUGGGACUGAGACACGGCCCAAACUCCUACGGGAGGCAGCAGUGGGGAAUAUUGGACAAUGGGCGCAAGCCUGAUCCAGCCAUGCCGCGUGAGUGAUGACGGCCUUAGGGUUGUAAAGCUCUUUCGCUCGGGACGAUAAUGACGGUACCGAGAUAAGAAGCCCGGCUAACUUCGUGCCAGCAGCCGC